AAGCCAGGAGGGAGAGGAGCAGCGCCCAGGGCUAUGGACCUGUCUUCUUCCAGAUCUAGCUGUGCUAGCUGAAACAGUAGUACCCAUCCUCCGCAUCCCUUGCUCACCAUCCGGCAAGGCCAGCAAAAGAGGGUGCAUGUAAACAUCCCCUAGCCCAACUCAGAAAUACCCAGCUGGGUUAGUUCAAGGGUUCUCUGUCAGCAGGGUAACACAGCCCAGGUUGCUGUGGUGGAAGUGGAUAAUGAGCAUCUACACCACCUCUUCCCCUCCAGAGCUCUGCGGGCAGCGGUGACGGGCAGGAGCAUUUUCAGCUGGCACAGUAGGUUUCCAAAGAGGUGCAGAAGUUCAAGUUACAGCGUGGAAGUGGCAAAUAAAUACACAGCAUUAGCGUCUGACGUGCUCGCCGAGCAACCGGGGAUGUUAAUAACUGGCAAGGGCUGUAACAAAAUGGUGGCAAAGGAAAAAGAGUACAAGUGAGUGUCUAUUCCCACCUGGGAGGGGGCUGCACGGUCUUCCUGCCGAUGGGCUUAUUUUGCUCAUCGCUCGCUUGAGAAAGGGAUGUUUUAACAAAUGUUGAAAAUAAGAAAAGGCACAGCGGUUUCAAAAACAACAGCACGAGAGGAAAAGGAGAGAAAAAUGCAAGUUUCAAUCAUCAUUAAUGUCUUUCUAUGUUGUCAAAAUAUUUUCUUUACAGAAGAAUUAAAAUUAUAGUUGGAAUGGCACUGGAAUGGA